AAUCAUACCGUGCAUGCGGAAGAAACUUUGGGCCAUCUGGCAAGGCACCCUAUCUUAUGACGUGCAGACACAAAAGAUUGUAGAGAAGUUUGUGAACUGCACUAUUUCCACGACUCCCAACGCUAAGAUAGCAUGGCAUCUCCUAAAGGUGGCAUUGCGUGUGGCAGGUUAGAUGUCAGACCUGACCGUGGAAGGUAAAGGUGGCGGCACAAUCAUUUCGAUCAUGCUAAGGAAACCAGU